UCCCAACCCCACACUGAAACUAAAUUGAGUGCAGGAUUAAAGGCACAGGGUUAAAGCUAAGAUCAUCAGGCUGGAGCUUACAUGAGAAGUAGAUAACUAAAUAAGAACAGCCAGUAUGUCUGCUCGAACUAGCAGAGCCUCCAGUCCCUCUCCCCUGUGGGGAAAUACAUGCUUGCUAAUUAGAGCCUUGCCAGGAAAGCUAACAGCAGGAAAUGCUGCUGGAUAACUCAUUCACAGGAGUUCUGUAGGCAAAGUGCGUGGCUGACAAAUUCCCAGAGAUUUCAUGCAAGCUGCAGGGUAACUGAAGUUUUUACUGUUCAUGUUUUCCUUUCCUCCCUAAGUACUGGAGGUCCUAGCUCCUGAGCUUCAUGCUUUCUCCCUGCUGCAGCACGAG